GUUAAUAAAGCACAAUCCGGCCAUGCAAAAGACCUAAGCUCUUUUUCUAGGGGUUCAAAUCCCCUUACUAACU
rnacentral:tRNA from 1 species